AUUGAACGCUGGCGGAAUGCUUUACACAUGCAAGUCGAACGGUAGAGGGGGCAACCCCUCGAGAGUGGCGAACGGGUGAGUAAUAUAUCGGAACGUGCCCAGUCGUGGGGGAUAACGUAGCGAAAGUUACGCUAAUACCGCAUACGAACUAAGGAUGAAAGCGGGGGACCGUAAGGCCUCGCGCGAUUGGAGCGGCCGAUAUCAGAUUAGGUAGUUGGUGAGGUAAAGGCUCACCAAGGCAACGAUCUGUAGCCGGUCUGAGAGGACGACCAGCCACACUGGAACUGAGACACGGUCCAGACUCCUACGGGAGGCAGCAGUGGGGAAUUUUGGACAAUGGACGCAAGUCUGAUCCAGCCAUUCCGCGUGCAGGAUGAAGGCCCUCGGGUUGUAAACUGCUUUUGUACGGAACGAAAAGGUCUCUCCUAAUACGAGGGGCUCAUGACGGUACCGUAAGAAUAAGCACCGGCUAACUACGUGCCAGCCGCCGCCGUAA
rnacentral:rRNA from 1 species